ACGAACGCUGGCGGCAUGCCUAACACAUGCAAGUCGAACGAGACCUUCGGGUCUAGUGGCGCACGGGUGCGUAACGCGUGGGAAUCUGCCCUUCGGUUCGGAAUAACAGUUAGAAAUGACUGCUAAUACCGGAUGAUGACGUAAGUCCAAAGAUUUAUCGCCGAAAGAUGAGCCCGCGUAAGAUUAGCUUGUUGGUGAGGUAAAGGCUCACCAAGGCUACGAUCUUUAGCUGGUCUGAGAGGAUGAUCAGCCACACUGGGACUGAGACACGGCCCAGACUCCUACGGGAGGCAGCAGUGGGGAAUAUUGGACAAUGGGGGAAACCCUGAUCCAGCAAUGCCGCGUGAGUGAUGAAGGCCUUAGGGUUGUAAAGCUCUUUUACCCGGGAUGAUAAUGACAGUACCGGGAGAAUAAGCUCCGGCUCCCUCCGU
rnacentral:rRNA from 1 species